rnacentral:rRNA from 1 species
AAUAGAUACCCGGGUAGUCCACGCCGUAAACGAUGGAUGCUAGCUGUUAUGCGUAUCGACCCGUGUAGUAGCGAAGCUAACGCGUUAAGCAUCCCGCCUGGGGAGUACGAACGCAAGUUUAAAACUCAAAGGAAUUGACGGGGACCCGCACAAGCGGUGGAGCGUGUUCUUUAAUUCGAGGCUAAGCGAAGAACCUUACCAGGGCUUGACAUCCUUGGAAUUUCUCCGAAAGGAGAGAGUACUUUAUUGGACCAAGUGACAGGUGCUGCAUGGCCGUCGUCAGCUCGUGUCGUGAGAUGUUUGGUUAAGUCCAUUAACGAGCGCAACCCUUAUGAAUAGUUGUAUUUUUCUAUUCAGACUGCCCCGGUAACGGGGAGGAAGGGGGGAUGAUGUCAGGUCAGUAUUGCCCUUACGCCCUGGGCUAGAAACGCGCUACAAUGGCCGGUACAAUGCGCUGCCAACCCGCGAGGGGGAGCAAAUCGCAUCAAAGCCGGUCCCAGUUCGGAUAAGAGGCUGAAACUCGCCUCUUGAAGCCGGAAUCGCUAGUAAUCGU